CCUACGGGGGGCUGCAGUGAGGAAUAUUGGUCAAUGGGCGUAAGCCUGAACCAGCCAAGUCGCGUGAGGGAUGAAGGUUCUAUGGAUCGUAAACCUCUUUUAUAAGGGAAUAAAGUGUGGGACGUGUCCUGUUUUGUAUGUACCUUAUGAAUAAGGCUCGGCUAACUCCGUGCCAGCAGCCGCGGUAAUACGGAGGAUCCAAGCGUUAUCCGGAUUUAUUGGGUUUAAAGGGUGCGUAGGCGGGCUUUUAAGUCAGCGGGGAAAGUUUGUGGGUCAACCAUAGAAUUGCCGUUGAAACUGGGAGGCUUGAGUAGGUUGGAGGCAGGCGGAAGGCGUGGUGUAGCGGUGAAAUGCUUAGAUAUCACGCAGAACCCCGAUUGCGAAGGCAGCCUGCCAAGCCAUGACUGACGCUGAUGCACGAAAGCGUGGGGAUCAAACAGGAUUAGAUACCCUGGUAGUC
rnacentral:rRNA from 1 species